rnacentral:lncRNA from 1 species
ACAAAUCUAAAAAAUGGAAGGGAAGUAAACACUUAUUGGUUGAUAUUUCUAAAAAUGGGAGGUUAUUACAUCACAAAUCAUCACUCAAAGGCAUGUUUUUAUCAACUACAUAAUGAUUAGAUACACAUAUAAUCGAUCUCUGCUUGUUUCCUUUUAUGCUUCCUAAAUGUGAAAGUUGUAGAGUAGUAUCCUCUCUCCUAUCCUAAAAAGGAGUACUCAUACCUGAGCUCAACAGUUCCAGAGUAUGAAAGAUAAACAUAAGAAAACAAGUACUAUUAUUACCCAAUGAUGAGGCAUUAUGCCAGGGAUUGAUUAUAUGAAUUCACGAUGUCCUCCACCGAGUAUCUUGCCUCGCCGAUGAU